UUUCUACUCCCUUCGUCCGAAAAUACUUGUCAUCAAAAUGGAUAAAAAGAGAUGUAUCUAAAACUAAAAUACGUCUAGAUACAUUUCCUUUUAUCCAUUUUGAUGACAAGUAUUUCUGAACGAAGGGAGUAUUUG
rnacentral:pre_miRNA from 1 species